AGCAGCCGCGGUAAUUCCAGCUCCAAUAGCGUAUAUUAAAGUUGUUGCAGUUAAAAGCUCGUAGUUGAAUUUCGGGACCAAUCUGCCGGUCGUGCCUCCGGUACGCACUGGUUUUAUUGGUUUCUCCCUUCUGACGAACCAUGAUGUCAUUAAUUUGGUGUCAUGGGGAAUCAGGACUGUUACUUUGAAAAAAUUAGAGUGUUUAUAGCAGGCUCACGCUUGAAUACAUUAGCAUGGAAUAAUGAAAUAGGACGUUUGACCCUAUUUUGUUGGUUUCUAGGAUCGACGUAAUGAUUAAUAGGGAUAGUUGGGGGCAUUAGUAUUCAAUUGUCAGAGGUGAAAUUCUUGGAUUUAUUGAAGACUAACUACUGCGAAAGCAUUUGCCAAGGAUGUUUUUCAUUAAUCAAGAACGAAAGUUAGGGGAUCGAAGACGAUCAGAUACCGUCGUAGUCUUAACCAUAAACUAUGCCGACUAGGGAUCGGACGAUGUUAAUUUUUUUCAAUGACUCAUUUCGGCGCC
rnacentral:rRNA from 1 species